GGCCGCAGGGGGAGCUGGCUGUUCUGUCUCUGCUCCCGCUGGGCACUGGGGAGGGGGAGCAGAGACAGAACAGCCAGCUCCCCCUGCGGCCACCAGAAGAGCU